AAUGAACGCUGGCGGCAUGCCUAACACAUGCAAGUCGAACGAAGGCUUCGGCCUUAGUGGCGCACGGGUGCGUAACGCGUGGGAAUCUGCCCUCAGGUUCGGAAUAACAGCGAGAAAUUGCUGCUAAUACCGGAUGAUAUCGCGAGAUCAAAGAUUUAUCGCCUGAGGAUGAGCCCGCGUAGGAUUAGCUAGUUGGUGUGGUAAAGGCGCACCAAGGCGACGAUCCUUAGCUGGUCUGAGAGGAUGAUCAGCCACACUGGGACUGAGACACGGCCCAGACUCCGACGGGAGGCAGAAGUGGGGAAUAUUGGACAAUGGGCGAAAGCCUGAUCCAGCAAGGCCGCGUGAGUGAUGAAGGCCUUAGGGUUGUAAAGCUCUUUUACCCGGGAUGAUAAUGACAGUACCGGGAGAAUAAGCUCCGGCUAACUCCGUGCCAGCCGCCGCCGUAA
rnacentral:rRNA from 1 species